rnacentral:tRNA from 1 species
GUCCUUGUAGAUUAGUGGUUAGAUCACCACGUUGUGGCACUGCUUUGGCAGUCAACAAUUCCGUGGUAACCCAGGCUCGAAUCCUGGCAAGGACA